rnacentral:tRNA from 1 species
GCGUCGGUGAUCCAACGGCAGAAUGACGGUCUCCAACACCGUCCAUGCGGGUCCGAAUCCCGCCCGGCGUG